rnacentral:rRNA from 1 species
UCUGUGAAAUUCCGGGGCUUAACUUCGGGGUGGCAGGCGAUACGGGCAUAACUAGAGUGCUGUAGGGGAGACUGGAAUUCNUGGUGUAGCGGUGGAAUGCGCAGAUAUCAGGAGGAACACCGAUGGCGAAGGCAGGUCUCUGGGCAGUAACUGACGCUGAGGAGCGAAAGCAUGGGGAGCGAACAGGAUUAGAUACCCUGGUAGUCCAUGCUGUAAACGGUGGGCGUUAGGUGUGGGGACCGGUUUGGUUUCUGUGCCGUAGCUAACGCAUUAAGCGCCCCGCCUGGGGAGUACGGCCGCAAGGCUAAAACUCAAAGGAAUUGACGGGGGCCCGCACAAGCGGCGGAGCAUGUGGAUUAAUUCGAUGCAACGCGAAGAACCUUACCUGGGUUUGACAUGCACCAGACGGUUGUAGAGAUACGUACCUCCCUUUGUGGUUGGUGUGCAGGUGGUGCAUGGUUGUCGUCAGCUCGUGUCGUGAGAUGUUGGGUUAAGUCCCGCAACGAGCGCAACCCUUGUCUUAUGUUGCCAGCACUUUGGGUGGGGACUCAUGAGAGACUGCCGGGGUUAACUCGGAGGAAGGUGGGGAUGACGUCAAAUCAUCAUGCCCUUUAUGCCCAGGGCUUCACACAUGCUACAAUGGUUAGUACAACGCGCGGCAAGCCUGUGAGGGUGAGCGAAUCGCUGAAAGCUAAUCUCAGUUCGGAUUGGGGUCUGCAACUCGACCCCAUGAAGUCGGAGUCGCUAGUAAUCGCAGAUCAGCAAUG